rnacentral:rRNA from 1 species
UACAGAGGGUGCGAGCGUUGUCCGGAAUCACUGGGCGUAAAGGGCGCGUAGGCGGCCUGAUAAGUAGGGGGUGAAAUCCUGCGGCUUAACCGCAGGGCUGCCUUCUAAACUGUCAGGCUGGAGCACAGUAGAGGCAGGUGGAAUUCCCGGUGUAGCGGUGGAAUGCGUAGAGAUCGGGAAGAACAUCAGUGGCGAAGGCGGCCUGCUGGGCUGUUGCUGACGCUGAGGCGCGACAGCGGUGGGGAGCAAACAGG